GUUUGUAGAAGCAUGUGGAGUGGGUGUUGUGAACACCAUUUUGGACUUUCCAGACAUAACUACAACACAGUGGCAGCAGGAUGUAUGUCACAGCUGAAGGAAUAGCAGUGCCAGGUCAGCCCAAGGGCCUACCCGGGUCACCAUCCACCUCCAACGCGGCCGUGAGGAUGCACCCAGGAAGAACAAGACCGGGCCAGGCACGUGGUUAGUCCCUUGGCUUUCUUAGCCUCCAACUCUUGUCACUAAAAGUGACUUCCUGAACCAUACCUGGGUUUUAUGCCACCUCAUCUUCAAAAUGUAACCAGUCUGUUCCCUUGCAUGUUCUUUCUGACCUCUCUGCUCACACCCUCUUCAACAGCAGCAGGGAAAAUAAAAAACUCCUUUACCACUUU